CAGUCGCCUCUAACACUAAUAAAAGCUUUUAAGAAAAACUACUCUUAUUAAAUGAAAAAAGCAGCACACAUUGAUGUUGGUCCUCUUCUCUUGCUCAUCUCUCUAUAGAUAUAGAAAAUUAUCCCUCUCAAUUUCCUCUUUGCUCAAAUCUCUCAAUUCAAACCGCUCAAAUCACAAAUUUUGAUCCAUCUGAUAGCAACACAAAAGCCCUAAUCAGAAAUCGUGACUCCAUCAGAUCCAUGAAAUGGCAAUGGUCUCUGCGGUCCAAGAAGCUCAGAAGGAUAACCUAAUUUUUUUUAAUGAUUACAUGAUGAAAGUUCUGGAGGAGUAUUUCGUAUUGACUAUUGUAGGCCGCACUUGGUGGUGCUGUUGGUUAUUUGCAGCGAAUCCGCGCAUUUCUCAGGAUCCGUCUAAGGGACUAUGGGAUCCUUGAUUUUGAUGCGAUUGAUGCCCGUAGACAGCCUCCUGUUGAUACCACAUGGCAGCAGGGAUGAGGCUCUUAAUCAAUCACAAAUGUUGUCGAUCGUGGAGGAGUUUGGAGGCCCUAAAUCCUAGUUAUUAUUUUUCUUAUCAUAUGUUUAUGGAUACAUUGACAAUGAAUGAUGAAUUAUUGUGUAGUACAUAUUAUUUGACAUUUUGGUAAUGGAAGCAUCUAUAAUAUUCAGUUUAACAAA